AGACCUUACUCAAAGGAAACAAAUGGGACAAAUAGGUACUCCUCAGCAAUUAGCUAAGACAAGAGGUUUCCCACCCAACUUUCCCAAAGCUGCCUCUCUCCGCCCCUUCUUGCACCAGGAGCAGGCUGAGGACACCCCACUCCUACCCUGGGCGGAGCCGGCUCUAGGAAGACCGGAUUCCUCUCCCUUCCCCUCCCCGGAUUCUUUCAGCCCUCACCUCCCAGGAAUGGGGAGGGGGCAUCCUACCCCAUAUCUGAGGUGCGACUGCGGGACGUAGAGCGGACUGGGCCUUUCCCGCUGGCCCGUGGCCUCAAUCAGGCACAAGUGGGCAAGAAGAACCAGACAGUCCAAGAAACCCAAUCAUGUUGAGACAUGGAGAGCAGAAAAGGAAGCGAGCCCAGAAGAAGUGGGUGAGAGGGCGUUGGACCUGAAUGUGGAGAGAGAGAGACUGACAAAAAGAGAGAGAGAAAGAAAGAGAGAAAGAGAGACAGAGAAAGAAGAAACUGUGCUGUAGAAAACAACAAUGGAAAGUCCAUGGAGGACAAAGAGUCCGGCAAGGGACAGAGAGGACAUCAUAUCAAUGUAUUUCUCCUGAACUGUAAGAGAUGCAACUGAACGUGUGAGAGGUCAUGUCAGUAGGCUGACAGGCAGCAAG